UGAACCCCAGAGGCUUGGGGAAGCACAAGAGGUGCCUCCUCAGAGGUUCUCAGUGAUUGAGGUGGAGCAAAAGGGAGCAGAUGAUCCUUAAGAAUUUCUGAGCAAACAACAGCAACGAGGAUGCCAGUGUUCUUUAUUUGAACUCCUGAUCCAUCUUCUCUGUAUUUCAGAGAUCUAUAUUACAAAGGUUGGCAUGUGUUUUUUCACAUUCCGCUGCAAUUAGAUUUGAGUCCAGAUGUGAUUGCCUUACGAUGGAACCCUUGCAUCUUCAUUAAUGCGACUCACUGGCAAACCACAAAUCUGCUACAGCAUACCUGUCAAUCCAAUGCAAGUAUAGCUUUUACAUGGCAAUAAGUAGAUUCUAUUUCAGCGUGUACUCCAAAUGCCAGGAGACAACUGAAUGGGUUGUGAGUAAAUGGAGAUGCAUCGCACUACUUCAGGCAAUGCUUUCCUUGAUUUUCUGAACCGUUUGAGAAGCCCUGCAAAAGAUUAUCCUAACAAAAGCUGCUCAGAGGACUAAUGUAACAUAGAAGUAGACAUAACAGAAACAGAUCACUGGUUCCCAGACAAAUGAGGGCAUCUGCAUGGUUGGAGCAUAUCCACUUCAAGAGCCAUUUCUGUAGCAAAUGAUUCCCUGGGUCUCAGCGGAUCUCAUCCUCUACUCUUUAAAGGAAGAGAAAAAAGGUAGAGAAAAUGGGAUGGAUGAUUACUGGUGGCAUGCUUUGCUCAGUGAUAUAUACACAACGCAAAGUACAGCACAGCAAGAGAAAGCUUUACAUUGUUCAUCGGAGGCUGAUUCAUUCUGCAAAAAAUAAUAAUAAACAGUGGUACCUCAGGUUACAUACACUUCAGGUUACAUACGCUUCAGGUUACAGACUCCGCUAACCCAGAAAUAGUGCUUCAGGUUAAGAACUUUGCUUCAGGAUGAGAACAGAAAUCGUGCUCUGGCGGCGCAGUGGCAGCAGGAGGCCCCAUUGGCUAAAGUGGUGCUUCAGGUUAAGAACAGUUUCAGGUUAAGAACGGACCUCCGGAACGAAUUAAGUACUUAAGCUGAGGUACCACUGUAUUGGUCUUUGGUCUAACAAAAAACAUGGGGAGUAUCUAGGUCUAUGUGAGCAGAGCUCCUUUUUUUGCAAAAUGAGCAUCCCAAUCAGCUGUUUGGCAGGGAAGGAGUAGAAGAGCAUAUUGAAUCCAUCCAAGCACCCAUUUCUAAACUGUUAAUCGGCCGAUCCUGGCCCAACUGCACUGGCUUCCAAUUGGUCUCCGGUGCUGGUUUUGACCUCUGAAGGCUUAAACAGCUCAGGAUGGCAAUAUGUCAAGGACCACCUCUCCCCAUAUGAACCUGCCUGGAUCUUGUGAUCAUCAUCUGAGGUCUUUCUUCAUGUGCCUCCUCCACGAGAGUUCUGGAGGGUGGCAACACAUGAAUGGGCAUUUUCUGCAAUGGCUCCCCGUUUGUGGAAUGCUCUGCCCAAGGAGGCUUGCCUGGUUCCCUCAUUAUACACCUUUAGGUACCAGGUGAACAUGUUCCUCUUCAACCAGGCCUUUGGCUGAUUGACAUCUGAUGCCCUUUUAAAUGCGUUGUGGGGGUGGGAUUAUUGUUUUGUAGUUGUUCUUAUUUUUAUUAUGUAUUUUGUGGUUUUUAUAUUGUAAUUUUAUCUUGUGAACUGCCCCGAGAUCUACAGAUGAAGGGUGAUAUACAAAUUUAUUUAUUUAUUUAUUAGAUUGCAUUUCACCUUGAUAAAGGAUUGUAGGCGUGAUGUUUGUGUUGUUAGAUGAGGCUAAGGGUUUGUGCAGCAUUCAAGCACACGCCAGGAUCUCACUUAGAUGCAUUCUAAGUGAAACAGUGCUGAAAAUAACAAUACAUACACAUCAUAUGUUGAUGUGCAGUGUAUAUUUUAUAUACUGUUACAGACCAGGUUCAGGGAACCUGUGUUUACUGGGCUCCAUCAGCCUCAGCCAACAUACCCAGUGGUCAGAGAUGAUGUGAGUUACAAAGCAAUAGAAUCUAUAUGCCACAGGUUAGCUUAGCUACCCCUCUACUGAGAUAGUAAUGGAUAAUUUCUUCUGCUUCUCCUCCUCCUCCUCCUCCUCCAUUUUGUUCUGUUUUUUUCGGUCCAUACUUUUAAGUGAAGUAGCCUGGAUUGGAACAUAAUUAUCCUUCCGAUUUUCUACUUCUCCAAAUUUUGUGAUAUAGUACUCGGUUCAAAAAAAUGAACUUAAGAGUCAGACAUGUACUUGAGGCAACCUAUGCUUGCCAGAAAAGAGACCAUUACAUAUAAGAACCAUUUGCUCUGUGUGGGGGGUUUUUUUUGUGUGUAUGUGUAAUUCUUUUUCUUAGCCUGUUAUAGCUGUGUCUAGUAAAACUUCAGAAUCAUUUGAACUUGUCUGAUCUUUCACUGCUUGGUCCAAAUGGUGGGGGGAACACCAGUGGACUCCAGAAAUGCACAGCUUUAAAUGAGGUGGUAAGCUCAUAAAUCAUAGAAUUGUAGAGUUGGAAUGGACCCCAAGGGUCAUCUAGUCCAACCUCCUACAAUGCAGGAAUCUCAAGAGACCUGCUCCUACAGUCUGUUGACAGGAAGCAUCUAUCAGGAGGGAAGCAAUUUUUGUUCAUUACCCCUCCCACCCUAAAAAAUCUGCCCUGGGCAGUAAGACCCCCCUGGGACUGAUUUAAGGAAAGUUUAGGAGCUUCAUGAGCAGGGAGAAUUGCCAGAAAUGUAUCCCUCCCAUUUCUGCUUGCUAAUGGAUGCCUUCAGUCAAUUGAAGGACACCAAUCGGAUACCACCCAUUAUACUUAGGACCCCUUUAAAAAGAAAGGGGUUUACAUUAAUUACUUUCCUCACCAUAUAUGUAGACAUGGGUAUUACAAAUGUUCUGAAGGCAUAGUCACAAAAAGCAUCUCCUCUCAUGAAUUGUCCUAAUUCUACAUUGUCUUGCUUUUUUCUCAUAGGAGCACCUAAGAAACAAGGAAGCCAGUGCUAAUAGAUAUCUCCAUAUCGCCCCUAAGCCAGAUAGCUUCAGACUCCACAUAGAUCAGCUGCCUUAUCUCAGUUAAAACAAUAUACAGCCAGUUACAUACUUACACUGAGAGGCUGAGUUCUCUUCUCCUUUGCUAAAAUGAUAUCAAAGCCCCCUUGUACUUUGUGGCCACCUGAAGCUGGUGAAGAUCCUACUGGCUUCCCCAAGACAUAUAGGUCCCAAGUGAAUCAGCCUGCAAGAUCCACUGCUGGGCAGUAUUUAAGUCUUUUAAAUUAAGAAGAGUGGCAGAUGAAACUGAUGUACUAUGCCGAGUUGGCAAAAUUAACUGGGAAAAUUCGGAACCAGCAAGACCAGACUUUCCUGAAAGACUGGAAGAAAUUUCUGAUAUAUUUGAAAGACAAUUGUAAUCAAUUGACAUCACUUGUAGGGUUGCAAGAAGUUUCAUAAGGAGAACCAUAUGAAUUAUUGCGAAAGACGACUAAGAAGGAGUUUAUUUAGGAUAUGGAUUUUAUAGCAAUAACUAUUAAAAUAAAAUGCAAAAUCAGAAAGAAAGUUAGAAAACCAUUAGUCGAGGUUGACGGAAAUCUCUGGCUGUGAUAGCCGAAGGUUUGUUAUGUUGUAUAGGAUGGGAUGUUAUGUUUGGAAAAUAUGUGCAAAAACAAAAAAAAAUUAAAAAAAUCUUUUAAAUUAACAAAAUAAGAUACUUUUACAUCCUUCUGUUUUCAGUGGAAGAGAAGCUGAAUGUAUGAGCAUUUCUUUCACUAAAGUCUUGCAGAAUAGAUGUCUAUGUGGUUUUGCCUUCAAUCUCUUCUUUGAAAUGUGAAUUCCUGUUUCAGAAAGCCUGUAGCUUUUCAGUAUAUCAUUGGGGACAAGAGUUCAGCAUUCUUUUUAAAGAGUUUAGUUUCUACAACUGUUCAUGACCGGAUAGCCUACAGCUAUAAAUAUUUAGUUGUGGAAAGUAGGCUUCCCAUUUUGGUAUUGUGUAUUUGAUGCACAGCUGAGAGGUACUGGAACCGCAUAGGAAUAAUUAAAUGUUACAGUUUUAGUUAAUGCACUCAAGUCAAUAUAUCCUGAAGGACAAAAGGCUGGAAUAACACUUCCCUGUAGCAGUAAAUGUUGAAAGGUGCAUACAUUCCUGUCAUUAUGGUGGUGAUUAGAGUUGCAAUGUACAAAAUGUUUCAAAAGGCAAUUUUUAUCACAUCAUUAUUAAU